rnacentral:rRNA from 1 species
AAAAACUCCGGUGGUGUGAGAUGGAUCCGCGUCUGAUUAGCCAGUUGGCGGGGUAACGGCCCACCAAAGCGACGAUCAGUAGCCGGCCUGAGAGGGUGACCGGCCACAUUGGGACUGAGACACGGCCCAAACUCCUACGGGAGGCAGCAGUGGGGAAUAUUGCACAAUGGGCGAAAGCCUGAUGCAGCGACGCCGCGUGAGUGAAGAAGUAUUUCGGUAUGUAAAGCUCUAUCAGCAGGGAAGAAAAUGACGGUACCUGACUAAGAAGCCCCGGCUAACUACGUGCCAGCAGCCGCGGUAAUACGUAGGGGGCAAGCGUUAUCCGGAUUUACUGGGUGUAAAGGGAGCGUAGACGGCGAAGCAAGUCUGAAGUGAAAACCCAGGGCUCAACCCUGGGACUGCUUUGGAAACUGUUUUGCUAGAGUGUCGGAGAGGUAAGUGGAAUUCCUAGUGUAGCGGUGAAAUGCGUAGAUAUUAGGAGGAACACCAGUGGCGAAGGCGGCUUACUGGACGAUAACUGACGUUGAGGCUCGAAAGCGUGGGGAGCAAACAGGAUUAGAUACCCUGGUAGUCCACGCCGUAAACGAAGAGUGCUAGGUGUUGGGGGGCAAAGCCCUUCG